GGGGCUGUAGUCUAGCCAGGUAUGACGACGGGCUCCAGACCCGUAGGUCACCGGUUCAAAUCCGGCCAGCCCCACCA
rnacentral:tRNA from 1 species